GGUCAGCUGACACAUCCCUGCCAAUCUCCGGCAGACCCUCCCUCCCAGAACCUCCUGCUUCCUGGACAGCAUCCAUGUUGAAGGCAGAUUCAACAUGGAUGCUGUCCAGGAAGUAGGAGGGUCUGGGAGGGAGGGUCUGCCGGAGAUUGGCAGGGAUGUGUCAGCUG